rnacentral:lncRNA from 1 species
GAUCGUAUAACACAGGAUAACCAUGGACCGAUCUUAGUGGGAGGCUUAGUGACCAUGAUAGCAAAUGCCAUCGGACUGAGACAACCACUUAUCAGGCUCAACCCUUUAGGUGGGAUAUGACCAAUGAAUAUCGGAUUCUGUUUCAACACUGGUAUCAUUAGGAACCUAGGCUCGGAUGUGUUCGAAUUUCUAAUUAACUGCCAAGUAGUACACCAGUUUACCCUACCAGACCAUAGGACAAGUGUACAUGAUAGGAAUAACUAGCUCUAUGAUU